rnacentral:lncRNA from 1 species
AAUCACAUACUUAAUGAUCCCCAUGUUCUCACUCUUUUGUUUGGCUUAGUUUCUUUCCUACUUCCUCAUUCUGUUUCUUUAUUUUUAUUUGUUUUGUCGUUGUUUAAAAAUUGUUUGUUUAUUUGCAAAGACUAUACUGUUUAUCCAAGUGAAUAAUUCCUUUAAGUGGAAGAAGAAAAGCCAGCCCAAUCUCACUGCUACUUUACUGUCUCAGCUUAAUAGCUCUGUGGUUUCUUUGUGUGUGUGUGUUUCUAAUUCCAGCUGUGCAACACAUAUCAAACCACUCUGUCGUUAUACUUCUCACUAAACUAUGCUACUUAACAUUUUGUUUUAAAAACAAUUAGUCUUUCAAGAAAACAAAAUGAAACUAUAGUAAUAUUCUUCCAGUUACAUCCACAGAUACUGGAUAAUUGAUUUCCACUGUACAUUAAAAAAGCAUCUUUCUGUCUUGUUGGCAACACUAGAUCUUUUUAAUUUAAUUAAUCUCUCAAAAGGUGAUUCAGUUAGGAUAAUUUGUUAAUGGAAAUAGUGUGAUCACAAAAGACAGCACUUUUCAAAGUUAGCAGAAUAGUCUUGUGUGACUUCUCCAUGAAAGGAAACCAUCUCACUUUAAAUCAACCGAGUUUCAUCACUGAAAGGAGGACUGAGCCUAGGGGAAUCACUCAGGCGGAGCUGCUUGCAAGAAUAUUUUCUUUCCCACGGGCCUCCUUUCUUGCAGCUGGGCCGUAACAUUCUGCUGAUCUGCUCAGGAAGUGCUGGUGACAACACCAACACAAGACAUCAAGACAGGCAGAAGUCUGAGACCAUGGGAGUACAAUGAAAAUGAAACUGUGUGCCUCCAGAUUAAAAAGAGGAAAUGUAUUAAGCCCCUAAAAACACAGAUUAAUCAAUUAUGUAUGCAAAAGAGGACACAAGAAUUACCGUCAUGAAAAGCGGAAGGAAAUUCAGAAGUAC